rnacentral:rRNA from 1 species
GAGGUCGGCGGCGGCGGGGGGGAUCGGAGCAGGGGGAGCGCGGAGGUGGGGGAUCGGAGCGGAAGAGGAGGGCAGGAGAGGAGGCGGCGAGCCAGCGGCACGGGCACGACGAGUUGGGGGCGACGGGGUAGCCGACGAGGCGGCGGCAAGUACCGUAGGCCCUCCGUGCGCCGGCGCGGGGGAGGGCAGUACGGCAGUUCCCAUACUCCGUCCCCACCGCCGCGCUCCAAACGGGAGGCGGUGGAGUGCCGGAGAGCGUGGCGGUGGAAGAGAGGGCCCGGAGGAGGGGUCGCGAGCUCCGCGUCGUCGCACCUGCGGCGGUGCAAGAACUAGGUCAGCCUAGACCGCGUCCAGCGGCAGUAGGCCGCGGCGUGCCGUACUAAGGUCUAGCCCGCUCCAGCGGCGGUCCUCUCGUCCUCGCCGACGACGUCGCUCACGUCGCCUCCUCGGGUAGGACCAGUUCGGGGUGGGGCCGCCGACGCACAUCUCCUCCUCUCCAGCUCCUACCGGGGUCAAGCACCUCCACUCAAGCAAGAAAGACUGGACCAGAGUAGGUGAUUAAGUACCGAAGGAAAAAAACAAAAAUAUACGACGUCUAUCCCAAUCGUUCCUCCUCCAACAGGGACGCUUCUCCGUCGCACUCCGACGUGGCCGCGGAUGGGUAGAUACGUACAUGUCUCUUACCUACUACAGUUCACCCAUUCCUGCGGCAGUCAUGCACUAUUCUAAUCCACGACCUGAAGACCCAUGGUGCAGGUGGGGUACGGGUUUAGUGUGUCCAACGUCAGUGUUCCUACUAGACCGGCUGGUACAGUCGUUUCGGUUGCGUUGUCUCAACUUCCUUUAUAAUGCUGUACUUGUACCACACUACUGGGCACACGUUGGAGUUGUUCACACUUCCACGACGAUUCAAUCUCCUAACUAAUCUUUGGUUUUUUUUCGUCCGAACCAAUCGAAGUUCUUCUUUUAUAAAGUUUUGGCACAUGGAUAACUUUACCGUACCUUCUGUCUCUACCAUCGUCGGACGUAGGAGUUUAACCUCAACGGAGAACCCCUCAUAGUCCAACGACUUUACUACUGGUCCCACCUACGGGUAUCAAUGUCUUUAUAGAUGGACCCUCCUCCGCGGCUUUAACAUUCACGUACGAAUGUCUCAAGAUAGUACGUGUUAGUACAUACGUGUGGCUAGAUAGGUUUUCUAAUCGAGCGCUGGGAGAGGCGGGCGUGGCGGCCGAGGGGCCCUCCGGCGUAGGCCGGACGGUGUUCAUGUGGAUACAGCGGCGGAGGGGCCCCCGGUGUUAACCUUCACCCUACUGGUUCCUCUUCCGUGCGCCGCCCCCGGUCCGCUAGUUCACCCUCCGCCUCGAGCGGAGGGGGUUACCGCUGCUGAAGUUGGAGUUCACCUUCACCCUCCGGUUCAGGUUCGGACCACGACGGCCGUUCCGGUUUUGGUUCACCCCGUGGGUCCUUCGGUUGUUUCUACUGUUCUUCUUCGGCUGCCACUUCACGCAGGUCUCGUUCCUCUAGGGGCGACCGACGCUGUAGGUCUAGCUCAAACAAGACAUCUGUGUGUUGUUGACGUUGUAGGUACUUGAGGUCACCUUAGGAGUUGGUUCCAAGCGGUCAUGGACUCAGCAAACGGAACAGAGUUUUCUCCAAUAUAUUCGAUGUAUAAACACACACGUAAAAGUGAAGAGGAAAUGGUCGGUGUUGAAACGAAAUAUCACGCGUUGAUAGACUGCUCCCAAUUCAUUGACUCUUUGAUUCGAAACCCUCUAGGUUUUAGCAAAAUCUACCAUGUAGUACUCUUACUUUAAGUACAAAAGGUGGAACUCCAACAAUGUGCGCAUGACUAAAAAGAGAAACAACUCUUUUAUUUAACAAAACAGAAGGAUACGUAUUUUUUUAUCACUUAGACUACGAGGUAGUUCCACCCGACUUUCCUAACUUUAAUGAGUUGAAUAAAAAAACAAUAUAGACUAAUAUCUAUAAAAUAUAUCAUAGUAUAUGACAAUUAUUUGUUAAAACGAAAAACGAACUGUAACUACACCACCACUAAACGAAAUAUCCAAUUUAAUAGAAUGGCGGUAUUACCAAAUGGCUUAUUUCUAAACAAAACAGUACAAAAAUAUGGUACAGAAGUCCUAAAAAGUCAAGAGAACGGUAUGUAUUGUACAGUGUCAGGAAGUCCAAAAACCCGACAAGAAGACGGUAAGGUAGAUAUACACACACACACACACACACACAAGUACACUGUAAAAAACACUGUACGAGUUUCACUACAUUAAUUGGUCUGGUAAUGACAAUAAUCACGAAUCAAGGAGGAUAUAGAAAGAAACUCUUUAAGAUUACUACACCAGAUAUAAAGGAAGUUAGACACCUUAUAUAUAACACAUUGGUCAUCGCCUGACCCACCCACGACGGUAGCACGAAACGAUAAGUACAUUGUCGGUCUUAGCUUACAAUUGGCACAAGAUGGGUUCAACCUAUAUUACAGUAACGUAACAUUUAUUCAAUAAU